rnacentral:rRNA from 1 species
AUUGAGCGCUGGCGGCAGGCUUAACACAUGCAAGUCGAGCGGAGUGAUGGUGCUUGCACUAUCACUUAGCGGCGGACGGGUGAGUAAUGCUUAGGAAUCUGCCUAUUAGUGGGGGACAACAUCUCGAAAGGGAUGCUAAUACCGCAUACGUCCUACGGGAGAAAGCAGGGGAUCACUUGUGACCUUGCGCUAAUAGAUGAGCCUAAGUCGGAUUAGCUAGUUGGUGGGGUAAAGGCCUACCAAGGCGACGAUCUGUAGCGGGUCUGAGAGGAUGAUCCGCCACACUGGGACUGAGACACGGCCCAGACUCCUACGGGAGGCAGCAGUGGGGAAUAUUGGAGAAUGGGGGGAACCCUGAUCCAGCCAUGCCGCGUGUGUGAAGAAGGCCUUAUGGUUGUAAAGCACUUUAAGCGAGGAGGAGGCUCUUUUGGUUAAUACCCAAGAUGAGUGGACGUUACUCGCAGAAUAAGCACCGGCUAACUCUGUGCCAGCCGCCGCAGUAA